rnacentral:tRNA from 1 species
UCCCUGGUGGUCUAGCGGUUAGGAUUUGGUACUUUCACUGCUGUAGCCUGGGUUCAAUCCACAGUCUGGGAA